rnacentral:lncRNA from 10 species
CACGAUCACAGUUCACCACAGCCUCAGUCUCCUGGGCUCAGGUGGUCCUACCACCUCAGCCUCCCAAGUAGCUGGAACUACAGUCACGUGCCACUAUGCUCGGCUAAUUUUUGUAUUUUUUGUAGAGAUGGAGUUUUGCUGUGUUGCCCAGGCUGGUCUAGAACUCCUGGAGUCAAGUGAUCCUUUCAUGUCGGCCUCCCAAACUGAUGGGAUUACCAGAGAGUUUCCCUAACAACCUGCUGGCUGCCUUAUGCUCCUGUAGAAUACAAGUUUUAGUGAAGUCAACAUAAUCCUUGCCUUCAAUAUUCUGCACACACUCAGAGCGCUUGGAAACUCAGCGGAUGUUGCUUGACACUUGAAGAGGGGGAAAGUGGCAUUCGGAAAUGUGGGGAACGGGGUUUCUACUCUGUUCAGGUGUCACUUCUGUGGUUCAUUUGCUCUGAGUAUCAGGAGUUAAUAUGGUUUAGAUGUUGUCCCCGCUAAAUCUCAUGUUGAAAUGUGGUCCCCGAUGUUGAAGGUGGGGCAUGGUGUGAGGUGUUUGGGUUCUGGGAGCAGAUCCCUCAUGGCUUGCUGCUGUCCUCAUGCUAGUAAGUUCUUGUGGGAUCUGAUUGUUUAAGAAUGUAUAGCAACUCCUCCUCUUUCACUUGCUCUCGCUCUGCUGUGUGAGACACCUGCUCCCCCUUCAUAUUCUGCCAUGAUUGUAAGCUUCCUGAGGUGUCAUCAGAGGCCGAGCAGAUGCCGGCACCAUGCUUCCUGUCUAGCCUGCAGAACCAUGAGCCAAUUAAACCUCUCUUCUCUAUAAAUUACCCAGUCUCAGGCAUCUCUUUAUAGCAAUACGAGAACAGACUAACACAGGAAUAUUGCUGGAGCAAAUCACACACAAGCCAGGCUGGCGCCUCCAUGAAGCUAUGAUUUCUAGUCUUGUCUGGAUCCUCAAUUCUCUCCUUCGUCAGCUCUGAUGCUACAACCCAACAGAUGAAUUCGCAUUUUACCUCAUAGAGCAGGCAUCAGAAGAAACUCCCUUUUGCCCAAACAUGCCCAGACUCACCUGCACCACGUUUGUGCCUACUGUUUUCUUCUGGUACAACAGAAAAGGUGUUCAUCAUCUGCUAAUUCCUCCCUCUGUGUUUUGGAUUCUAUAUCUCAUUUCUUCUCAGGAAACCUUUUCUAUCAGUUUUUCUUUCUCUCUUUACCUUCAGUCUCUUUAUCUUCCUUCCCUCUAGCUCCCAUUCUCCACAUACGGCAAACUACUUUUUGUCUCAGUACACAGCACACUUUCUUGUCUGCAGGCCUUUUCUCAUGAUGUUGUUCCUGAGUGGGCCAUUCUUCCCUUUCAUUUCCUUUUCCUUCCUUAUUGAAACCUUUCUUAUGAUCCAGGACACUUUUAGAAAUGUCUUCUAUGAAGCUUUCUUUAACUGCUUCCAAGUCGGAGUGAGAUGACCAGUACUGUAUUCACAGUACUCUGUGCUUAGCUCCCUCAGACUGUUUUUGUUUGUUUGUUUUGAGACAGAGUUUCACUCUUGUUGCCUAGGCUGGAGUACAAUGGCGCAAUCUCGGCUCACCGCAACCUCCGUCUCCCGGGUUCAAGCGAUUCUCCUGCCUCAGCCUCCUGAAUAGCUGGGAUUACAGCCAUGCGCCACCACACCUGGCUAAUUUUGUAUUUUUAGUAGAGACAAGGUUCCUCCGUGUUGGUCAGGCUGGUCUUGAACUCCUGAUCUCAGGUGACCCGCCUGCCUUGGCCUCCCAAAGUGCUGGGAUUACAGGUGUGGUUUGGUGGUAGGAGCCAUCUAAACCUAAGUUUUUCUGAAUUGUUGCACUUGAGUGCCAAGCUUCCUCAACUCAUAGGUCUUAUAUUGUUUAUUUCUCCCUUCAUGGGAAUCACAUGUCUAAGAACUGUUAUUUCAUAUACCAGGUCUGCUUAUCUGGUUGUUUAAGAUGAGACACUAAAUCCAGUCCAUAUUAUUCCAUCAUAGCCUGAAGUGGAAGUCUCAUUUCCGCACUGUCUUUGAAUACUGCAAUUGCUAGGUAUUAAAUUUCUACAUAGACAUUUUUAUUGGCUGUUUAUUCUAUUACUCUGAUAUGGUUGCCUAUUGCUAAUGUCAUAUUCUUUUGAUUAGGGUGGCUUUGUAUUAAGUUGUAGUGUUUGCAAGGCAAAUCUCUUUUGCCCUUUCCAUCACGUAUUUUAUGAUAUAAAGACUCUCUUUUAAGAUUUUGUUAUGUGAUCAUUAAUAAUAGCUUAUGAUUAUAUUCUUUUUUUUUUCUUUUUGAGACAGAGUCUUGCUCUGUCACCCAGGCUGGAGUGCAGUGGUAUGAUCUUGGCUCACUGCGGACUCUGCCUUCUGGGUUCAAGCAAUUCUCCUGCCUCAGCCUCACAAGUACCUGGGAUUGCAGGUGUGUGCCACCACGCCUGGCUAAUUUUUGUAUUUUUAGUAGAGAUGGAGGUUCACCAUGUUGGCCAGGCUGGUCUUGAACUCCCAACCUCAAGUGAUCCACCCACCUUGGCCUCCCAAAGUGCUGGGAUUACAGGUGUGAGCCAUCGCUUCUGGCCUACUUAUGAUUAUAUUCAAAUAAGUAUUUUGCUAGAAAUAAAUUUUGCAUAUUAUGUAUUUUUAACCAUAUUAUAAAGUGUAUUUUCUAUUUCUGUUUCUUGCUCUUUACUCCUAGUAUACAAUAAAGCUAUAUUUUUGCAUAUUUGUCUUUUAAAAAGUAAUCUCCUUAUUAUAGCAUACAAUCAUAUCAGCAGAAAGAUAAUUUAAUCUCUUCAUCCCUUCCUAAUGGCUACUGAUAUUUUAUUUCUGUCUUAGUCCCUUUGGGCUGCUAUUAACAAAAUACCUUUGAGUGGGUAAUUUAUAAACAGCAUAAAUUUAUUGCUCACUGUUCUGGAGGCUGGGAAUUUCAAGAUCAAUGUGCCAGCAGAUUUGGUGUCUGGUGAGGUCCUGUUCCUCACAGAUGGUGCCUUCUCCCUGUGUCCUCACAGAGUGGGGCUGGGAGGCAAACAAGCUCCCUCAUGCCUCUUUCAUAAGGGCACUAAUCCCAUUCAUGAGCUCCCUCACAACCUAGUCACCUCCCAAAGGCCCCAACCCUUAUUACCAUGACCUUGGGGCUUAGGUUUCAACAUGUGAAUUUGGGGGGACUACAAAUAGACCACAGCAGUUACCUUAUCUUAAUAUUAUAUAUUCCCGAGAACCGCUAAAUCAAUAUUGCUUAAUUAUGAUAACAGAGAGCAUUCAUUUCUUGUUCCUGUCUUGAUGAAAAUGGCUUUAAUGUUUUACCAUUUGGAAUAAUAUUUGUGGGUGGGUUGGAGCCCACAUCCUUUAUCAUAUUUAAGCCACUUCUUUCAAUGCCUUCUGAGAGUUUUUAUUAUAAAUCGUUCCUACAUUUUAUCAAGUGCCAUUUCAGGAUCUAUUGAAAUAAUCAAAAAGUUUUUCUUCUUUAAUUUGUUAACUAGUGAGUUAUGUUAAUUGGAAUAUUUUGGUUUUGAACCACGCUUCCAUUCAUAAAGUAAAUUCUACUUGAUUACUUUGAUAUACUGUGUAUGACAGGAUUGAAUUCUGUUAUUAAAAGUCAGAUUCUGUUAGAUUGUAUUAGAUAGCAAACCCAGAGCUUGUUUAUUUCAAGAACUCUUAAAACUAGUAAUAAAAAAUAAUGAAGAUAAACAGAUGGGCAAAGAGAGAUCAGAAAAACAGAAAUAAAAGACCAUGGGAGUGAUAAUGCUGAUAUCAGAUUGGUAG